GCUCACCUGUCACAAAGUGACAAGGUGAGCUUUUGUGAUCGCGUGGCGUCCGUCGUCCGUGCGUCCGUCCGUGCGUAAACUUUUUGCUUGUGACCACUCUAGAGGUCACAUUUUUCAUGGGAUCUUUAUGAAAAUUGGUCAGAAUGUUCAUCUUGAUGAUAUCUAGGUCAAGUUCGAAACUGGGUCACGUGCGGUCAAAAACUAGGUCAGUAGAUCUAAAAAUAGAAAAACCUUGUGACCUCUCUAGAGGCCAUAUUUUUCAUGAGAUCUUCAUGAAAAUUGGUCAGAAUGUUCAUCUUGAUGAUAUCUAGGUCAAGUUCGAAACUGGGUCACGUCGGGUCAAAAACUAGGUCAGUAGGUCUAAAACUAGAAAAAGCUUGUGACCUCUCUAGAGGCCAUAAUUUUCAAUGGAUCUUCAUGAAAAUUGGUCAGAAUGUUCAUCUUGAUGAUAUCUAGGUCAGGUUCGAAACUGGGUCACGUGCGGUCAAAAACUAGGUCAGUAGAUCUAAAAAUAGAAAAACCUUGUGACCUCUCUAGAGGCCAUAUUUUUCAUGAGAUCUUCAUGAAAAUUGGUCAGAUUGUUCAUCUUGAUGAUAUCUAGGUCAAGUUCGAAACUGGGUCACAUGGGGUCAAAAACUAGGUCAGUAGGUCUAAAAAUAGAAAAACCUUGUGACCUCUCUAGAGGCCAUAUUUCUCAAUGGAUCUUCAUGAAAAUUGGUCAGAAUGUUCAUCUUGAUGAUAUCUAGGUCAAGUUUGAAACUGGGUCACGUGCGGUCAAAAACUAGGUCAGUAGAUCUAAAAAUAGAAAAACCUUGUGACCUCUCUAGAGGCCAUAUUUUUCAAGAGAUCUUCAUGAAUAUUGGUCAGAAUGUUCAUCUUGAUGCUAUCUAGGUCAAGUUCAAAACUGGGUCACGUGGGGUCAAAAACUAGGUCAGUAGGUCUAAAAAUAGAAAAACCUUGGGACCUCUCUAGAGGCCAUAUUUCUCAAUGGAUCUUCAUGAAAAUUGGUCAGAGUGUUCAUCUUGAUGAUAUCUAGGUCAAGUUCGAAACUGGGUCACGUGGGGUCAAAAACUAGGUCAGUAGGUCUAAAAAUAGAAAAACCUUGUGACCUCUCUAGAGGCCAUAUUUUUCAAGAUAUCUUCAUGAGUGUUAGUGAGAAUGUUCAUCUUGAUGAUAUCUAGGUCAAGUUCGAAACUGGGUCACGUGGGGUCAAAAACUAGGUCAGUAGGUCAAAAAAUAGAAAAACCUUGUGACCUCUCUAGAGGCCAUAUUUCUUAAUGGAUCUUCAUAAAAAUUGGUCAGAAUGUUCACCUUGAUGAUAUCUAGAUCAAAUUUGAAACUGGGUCACGUGCGGUCAAAAACUAGGUCAGUAGGUCUGAAAAUAGAAAACAUUUUGUGACCUCUCUAGAGGCCAUAUUUUUCAUGGGAUCUUUAUGAAAAUUGGUCAGAAUGUUCACCUUGAUGAUAUCUAGGUCAAGUUUGAAACUGGGUCACGUGCGGCCAAAAAGUAGGUCAGUAGGUCUAAAAAUAGAAAAACCUUGUGACCACUCUAGAGGCCAUAAUUUUCAAUGGAUCUUCAUGAAAAUUGGUCAGAAUGUUCACCUUGAUGAUAUCUAGGUCAAGUUCAAAACUGAGUCAUGUGCGGCCAAUAACUAGGUCAGUAGGUCAAAUAAUAGAAAAACUUUGUGACAUCUCUAGAGGCCAUAUUUUUCACGGGAUCUGUAUGAAAGUUGGUCUGAAUGUUCAUGUUGAUGAUAUCUAGGUCAAGUUCGAAACUGGGUCAACUGCGGUCAAAAACUAGGUCAGUAGGUCUAAAAAUAGAAAAACCUUGUGACCUCUCUAGAGGCCGUACUUUUCAAUGGAUCUUCAUGAAAAUUGGUCAGAAUGUUCAACUUGAUGAUAUCUAGG